UGACGAUGUUCUUCGUUUGGCGACUGCUCUUCCGUUGCUAUCUUCCGCCGUUUCAAAGUUUCCUCCAAGACGAUAACAUCGCUACAAUCGAGACCGAGCGACAUGUCGUCGUAGGCAGUGGAUACCAAUAGGACCACACAGUAACGGGGCGGUUGAGUCAUCAUGGACGGCGUGGGUUCACCGCAGAGCAAACUGCCCGGCGGUACUUGCGUCAGGAUGCCGUUUUCCAGAGCGGGCGGUGUCGCGCACACUGCCGACGACUUGUCUUCCUCUAACAGGCUGGAGUUUGUCAGCCAGUUGGCGAAUUCCAGUAGAGUACAGUCGCAAUUCAACGGAUUGUCAGCAAGUGAGAGUCGCUUGAGACGCAGCUUCGAUGUCGAUCCAAUCGAUCUAAACCGAUCAGAUGCGAUAGCGCGGUCGUGGGAACCGAAUCUAGAAGAUUGUUGGGCAAUCCAAGCGCCUGUAACGGCCGUGCCAAUGCUGUGAACGCGUUCUCGUGGACGCGUCUCAAUUCGCCGGUAGAGACGACCAGUCCGUGAAGCGCGAUGUCCUCGAAGAAGCGUGCCGGCAAUAUGGAGAUCCCUGUCACGGUCACAUCCAGCAGCGAUAUCGUGUCCGAUUCGCAAAAAGAGAGUUGCUGCGAGUGCAAACGAUAUUUGUUGCAAUAUCGUCAAAUAUAAUUGAUAACGGGAUAUUCGCACGACGGAAAACAACAGAUGUAUGCAAAGCAAGAGAGAUAGAUCAAUUGAGACGAGACACGAGAAUGAGAGGAAAAGAGAAGUGAGCACAAUGGACUCUCUUGAAUAAUAUAUGUAUACGACUUGUAUUUCAUUGGCAGUCUAUACCACCCACGUUCUUCUUGACCGUUCUUCUUCGCCGUUCUAUCGCCAGUACAUCUGAGCGUAUGUGGAAAGUCGCAGGAACAUUCCACGCCCGCUUUUGUAAUAUUUGGACACUCCCAAACCACAUCGAAGGGGAAAGAUGAGGAUGACGGCGAUGCAUUUUCCUCGGUAGCG